rnacentral:rRNA from 1 species
AGUGGCGAACGGGUGAGUAACGCGUANGUAACCUACGCUCGAGUGUGGAAUAACCUGGCGAAAGCCGGGCUAAUACCGCAUGACAUCGUGGGCCCCUCGGGGCCUGCGAUCAAAGGUGGCGAACUUCGAGUGCUGCCGCUCGAGAAGGGGCCUGCGUCCCAUUAGCUAGUUGGUGGGGUAACGGCCUACCAAGGCGACGAUGGGUAGCCGGGCUGAGAGGCUGUCCGGCCACACUGGAACUGAGACACGGUCCAGACUCCUACGGGAGGCAGCAGUGGGGAAUAUUGCGCAAUGGGCGAAAGCCUGACGCAGCGACGCCGCGUGGGUGAUGAAGGCCUUCGGGUCGUAAAGCCCUGUCGAGCGGGACGAAACGUGCAGGUCCUAACACGGCCUGCAUCUGACGGUACCGCUGGAGGAAGCCCCGGCUAACUCCGUGCCAGCAGCCGCGGUAAUACGGAGGG